AAAGUUGAAACUGCCACAACAAAUCCCACACCCCUCUACAGACCGAGGACAUAAUAAACAGCUGGGAGACGGAUGGCAAGACUGCAACUAUACGUGAAAAAGACACAACUGUAGUAUUAACCUAUUGUUGUAGCUUUUCCUAAGAAUAUAGAGCAAGAGUUGCAUUUGCCAGAUGGACUUUAAAAGAAUGAGGUAUUUGUACUGCACUGCAAUCAGCACCUCCAGUAGUGGGUGAGCCAGAUCUGAAGAGGGGGCUUUCUGAAAGCGUCCCCCCCCCCACCCCCAUCCCCACAAAUUGGACACGGUUGCUCACCAAUCAUGUGACCAGGGAUCUGUUUGUUUUCAAACAGAUGAGAAGGAUGAUGUCCUUCAGCAGACGCAUGAAUGCACAACCUCUUUGAUUAACAGGAUCCAGUACCGCAAAAACAGUCGCUGGCAUAUAGUGUUAGACAGCACUGUAAAAGUGAUGUAGCCUAUUUUAAAGGAGGUAGCAGGGCCAGGUCUGGCGGAAUCGGCAGUCUUCGAUAUACCUACUUUGCGUUGGAAAUGAAAUGAUCAGAUUUCUGAUUUGAUGGCUGGUCUGGAUUUCAGCGGAGGGUCUCCCAGUAAAAGCUUUGCUAGGGCGCAUGAAAAGAACACUGCUAUCAAGAUGAAGUAAUCUCGCCGCAGGGCAACACUAACCCUCUACCACAGUGCCCUCUGGUGGCUAGCCCGCCCUUAACGGUAAGCAUAACGGUAAAGCGGACGGUAUUGUUCAAGAUGUAACUUCUGGAAAGCUGUCAAAAUAUAUAUUUUUUUCAAAUAUUA